rnacentral:rRNA from 1 species
GACGAACGAGGGAGGCGUGCUUAACACAUGCAAGUCGAACGGAAAGGCCCAGCUUUUGUGGGGUGCUCGAGUGGCGAACGGGUGAGUAACAAGUGAGUAACCUGGCCUUGACUUUGGGAUAACGUCAGGAAACUGGGGCUAAUACCGGAUAGGAGCUACUGCUGCAUGGUGGGGGUUGGAAAGCUUCGGCGGUUGGGGAUGGACUCGCGGCUUAUCAGCUUGUUUGUGGGGAAGUGGCUUACCAAGGAUUUGACGGGUAGCCGGCCUGAGAUGGUGACCGGCCACAUCGGGACUGGGAUACGGCCCAGACUCCUACGGGAGGCAGCAGUGGCGAAUAUUGCACAAUGGGCGGAAGCCUGAUGCAGCAACGCCGCGUGCGGGAUGACGGCCUUCGGGUUGUAUUCUGCUUUCGCCUGUGACGAAGCGUGAGUGACGGUAAUGUGUAAAGAAGCACCGGCUAACUACGUG